GACGAAUGCUGGCGGCGUGCUUAACACAUGCAAGUCGAACGGAAAGGCCCUGCUUGCAGGGUGCUCGAGUGGCGAACGGGUGAGUAACACGUGGGUGAUCUGCCCCUUACUUUGGGAUAAGCCUGGGAAACUGGGUCUAAUACUGGAUAGGACCAUGCUGUAGGUGGUGUGGUGGAAAGAUUAGUUUCGGUAAGGGAUGCGCUCGCGGCCUAUCAGCUUGUUGGUGGGGUAAUGGCCUACCAAGGCGUCGACGGGUAGCCGGCCUGAGAGGGUGGACGGCCACAUUGGGACUGAGAUACGGCCCAGACUCCUACGGGAGGCAGCAGUGGGGAAUAUUGCACAAUGGGCGCAAGCCUGAUGCAGCGACGCCGCGUGGGGGAUGACGGCCUUCGGGUUGUAAACUCCUUUCAGCCAUGACGAAGCCCUUGUGGUGACGGUAGUGGUAGAAGAAGCACCGGCUAACUACGUG
rnacentral:rRNA from 1 species